rnacentral:rRNA from 1 species
GCCAGACUCCUACGGGAGGCAGCAGUGGGGAAUAUUGCACAAUGGGGGAAACCCUGAUGCAGCGACGCCGCGUGAAGGAAGAAGUAUUUCGGUAUGUAAACUUCUAUCAGCAGGGAAGAAAAUGACGGUACCUGACUAAGAAGCCACGGCUAACUACGUGCCAGCAGCCGCGGUAAUACGUAGGUGGCAAGCGUUGUCCGGAUUUACUGGGUGUAAAGGGCGUGUAGCCGGGCUUACAAGUCAGAUGUGAAAUCCGGGGGCUCAACCCCCGAACUGCGUUUGAAACUGUAGGUCUUGAGUAUCGGAGAGGCAGGCGGAAUUCCUAGUGUAGCGGUGAAAUGCGUAGAUAUUAGGAGGAACACCAGUGGCGAAGGCGGCUUACUGGACUGUAACUGACGUUGAGGCUCGAAAGCGUGGGGAGCAAACAGGAUUAGAUACCCUCGUAAA